rnacentral:rRNA from 1 species
AUUGAACGCUGGCGGCAGGCCUAACACAUGCAAGUCGAGCGGAUGAAGGGAGCUUGCUCCUGGAUUCAGCGGCGGACGGGUGAGUAAUGCCUAGGAAUCUGCCUGGUAGUGGGGGAUAACGUCCGUAAACGGGCGCUAAUACCGCAUACGUCCUGAGGGAGAAAGUGGGGGAUCUUCGGACCUCACGCUAUCAGAUGAGCCUAGGUCGGAUUAGCUAGUUGGUGGGGUGAAGGCCUACCAAGGCGACGAUCCGUAACUGGUCUGAGAGGAUGAUCAGUCACACUGGAACUGAGACACGGUCCAGACUCCUACGGGAGGCAGCAGUGGGGAAUAUUGGACAAUGGGCGAAAGCCUGAUCCAGCCAUGCCGCGUGUGUGAAGAAGGUCUUCGGAUUGUAAAGCACUUUAAGUUGGGAGGAAGGGCAGUAAGUUAAUACCUUGCUGUUUUGACGUUACCAACAGAAUAAGCACCGGCUAACUUCGUG